GGAGGAAUAUUGGUCAAUGGGCGAGAGCCUGAACCAGCCAUGCCGCGUGCAGGAAGAAGGCCCUCUGGGUCGUAAACUGCUUUGGGUGCCGGCGAACCGCGGGGACGUGUCCCCGCCUGACGGUAGGCACAUAACAAGCACCGGCUAACUCCGUGCCAGCAGCCGCGGUAAUACGGAGGGUGCGAGCGUUAUCCGGAUUUAUUGGGCUUAAAGGGUGCGCAGGCGGCCCGAUAAGUCGGCGGUGAAACCC
rnacentral:rRNA from 1 species